ACAACAAAAAACAUAGAAGUUCCAUGACAGACCUUUUAUGUUUAGGUUUUAUUUUUUAACUUCUGUCUGAAAAUUAUCCAUGAGUGUAUUUCUUACCAACUGUCUAGAUGACAUACGCCUAACGUAGUGAUGUUUUUCCUUCCUACCAGGUUUUUGCUGAAGAGGGUUUGAAGCUUGCUUCAAGUGUGCAAGCUUUCUCAAAACAGCUGAAAGAUGAUGAUAAGCUUAUGCUUCUCCUGGAAAUAAACAAGCUUGUUCCUCUGUGCCACCAGCUCCAGGCAGUAACUAAGACACCUUUGCAGAAUCAAGUGUUUCUAAAGGUUGAUAAGAGUAUUACAAAGACAAGAUGCAUAAUGGCUACUUUGGUCCAACUUCUGUCGCUUUGCUAUAAACUGCUGAAGAAGGU